CCGUUGAAAACCUGCUUUUAAAAAUAAAAUUAAUUAAACAUCUCCUCUUUUACUGGGAUUCCACUAAUUUCCCUAAGUUCUCCUUUCCUUUCCCUGCGGCUGAAGUCUUGAAUCCUUGUUGGCAAGUAAAGUAUUUGGUAAACUGCAUUAGGCUCUUUUGGAUUUGGGUUUAUCCCCAAGUUCACUGCCUGCCAAAUUCAUAAAAGGGAUGGCAGGGCAGGGGGAAGCCAUUCUGUGACCGGAAGAGAAGAUACAUAAUACCACUGGGCUCUGACAUUGGGAGGCCACUGCCUGGCUCCAGCAUGGGGCAGCCAGUCUCCCCUGCAGGAGUGCCAGGAGGCAGAGAACAGGACUCUGGAAGAUGCAUCUGCAUCGUGAAGCCACAAAGCCACAGGGAUAACCUCUGAUGAGAAGGAGAAAAUUGAAUGAGAAAGUUAACAGGAGUCUUUUGGAUGACAGCCUGGACCACACUGGCCAUCAUGGAGGCUGUGAGGUGGAGGCCUGACCUGAUACUGGGACCUCUCUUUCCUGAUCUCCACCAUCCAGACCUCUAUCACUGGUACAUCCGUGAGGACUGUCUGAAGAACAAGAUCCUGUGAGGACCCUUCCCACCUUUGCUCAGCCUUUUUUACCUGCCCUUAUGCUUCCCGACCCUACUGAAAUCAGACCCUUCUUCAAACACAGAUGAAGGCACUGUUCUGUGUAUCUGUCUCCGGGCCCUUCAUCCAGGAGGGAACCCUUCCCAGCCCCAGGUCUCUGUGUCCCUCCCUCACACCACACACCAGCCUUGCAUUAA